CUAAGGUUUCUCUCUCUUCUCUCUUUCAUUUUUCAUUCUCUCAGAUUUCUCUGAUGUAUUUUUUCGUUGACUUUUAUCUCAUUUGAGGUGGGUUUGUCGUUUGGUUGUACCAGCUUUCUCAACGGCCUUCGUUUGCAUAUUCAUCCGGCUAUGUUUCUGACAUCGGUGGUUUAAUCAACAUUGGUGGUCGGCUCUGGCUUCGGAUUUAGCGGUCUUUCGGUAAUGAUAGGCUAGCUUCUUCUCCGGACCGUUUAGGUUUGGUCUCGCUUUUGUUUUUUCUUUUUCCGACUAUUUCGAUUUUUAAUGA